AUACGGAGGAUCCGAGCGUUAUCCGGAUUUAUUGGGUUUAAAGGGUGCGCAGGCGGCCAUUUAAGUCAGCGGUUAAAUCGUGGGGCUCCACCCCAUUCUGCCGUUGAUACUGGGUGGCUUGAUUGCGGUCGAGGUUGGCGGAAUUCGUUGUGCAGCGGUGAAAUGCAUAGAUAUGACGAAGAACACCGAUUGCGUAGGCAGCUGACCAGACCGCAAAUGACGCUCAUGCACGAAAGUGCGGGGAUCGAACAAGAUUAGAUACCCUGGUAGUCCGCACAGUAAACGAUGAAUACUUGUUUUCGGCGAUAUAAUGUCGGAGGCAAAGCGAAAGCGAUAAGUAUUCCACCUGGGGAGUACGCCGGCAACGGUGAAACUCAAAUGAAUUGACGGGG
rnacentral:rRNA from 1 species